CUAUAUGCUCACUGACUUCCGGCUUGGAGGAUAGAGCGUUCUCCUCUGGUAUCAGAGUGACAGAUAGUUAUUCCACAGACAGGGAACGAUCUCCAAAGGUGAAAAUAGAUGUGAAUUGGAUCCAUCCCUAAGCAGAAAGACACCAAGAAGACAUAAGUACCUGAAAAGAUCUGGGUUACUGAUACCACUUGACAUUUCCUUAAACAUGACAACCCUCACAAGCACUUAUAUGUCACGCAUAACUAUUCAUGAUAUUGAAACUGACAAAGCCUAAUUAUGUUUUCCAUGAUCACUAUCAGCAUCUAUUCCUUCAAGGCAAAUUGGACACAUACUGUACGUGCUUAUGCAAUUGCUUACCUUUUUCCUCUCAUGCAGAUAUAGCUAUUCAAAAUGUAACCAACCUGAUGACAAUACUCUGUCACCA